UGUGUAUGCCCGCUGCGACUCUUGUCGUGCCGUAAGGAAGCCGUGAAGCUAGCCACCUGGGAAGUACGGCCGCAAGGCUGAAACUUAAAGGAAUUGGCGGGGGAGCACCACAACGGGUGGAGCUUGCGGUUUAAUUGGAUUCAACGCCGGAAAUCUUACCGGGACCGACAGCAAUAUGAAGGCCAGGCUGAAGACUUUGCCGGAUUAGCUGAGAGGUGGUGCAUGGCA
rnacentral:rRNA from 1 species